rnacentral:lncRNA from 1 species
UUGUUUGUCACUUCACACUACUUGAGAUGAUGAUUUUUUUUUUUUUUGUAAUUGGCCGGUCCUGCACAACCCUUUCGCUUGUAGGUUACUGGUAGCCUCUUCCCUUUUGCCUCCUCUUUAAAGCAGGACAAUGGACCAACCAAGCUGGUAUUAACCAGUUUCUGAAGCACUUGUAGAGCACAGUGAGAAAGAAGUACCAUACAGAAACACCGUAUCAGUGCCCAUGGUAAUGUAGGCCAAUACACAGUGCCAAUUUUUAUUUUCCUAUGUAAACACGCAAUAACGUCCCUCCCUACAUACAGCAGCAAUCUGUUGUCACCUGCACGUCGAUGUUGUCCAAGUCGACGCAGGCGCAUUACCAGUCUGUCUGCCUCAGAAACCUCCCAGUCACGUUGGAUCCGCUAGUUCCUUACGCUGAACUACUCGUCAAAUUGGGGAUCGACAAUGGUUUUGUAGACUCCGCUUUGGCAAACAGUUCCACGGUUGAGACGUCAUCUUGCGUCUUGGAUCUUGUGAACGCAUUCGCCAUGAAAUUCCUGAUGAAGAGAUGAACCGCUAGGACAGGCGAUUUACAUCUGAUGUUUCCCUCAAGUCGACGGAAUGGGAGCCAGAGAUAGAAUUCACAAUUGCCUCGUCUGAUGUUGCAGUCUGGUAACUGGUUCCUUCUGUGUAUGGUGUAUGCGACCCUGACUGCGUGCCAUGACUUUAACAGGCAGACGCAGACGGUCUCAAUCGUAGGGACGACCAGGUAGGGCAAUUGUGCUUCCUGCUAGGCGCUGAAUCCCUUUUGCCUCCUAUUCCAAAUUUGCUAGUUGAUCAUUCCCUGUCUUUUCAUACUCAUACUGAGCUAUUUCUCUAGUGUUUUGUGUGC